rnacentral:tRNA from 30 species
GCGGGUUUAGCUCAGUUGGGAGAGCGUCAGACUGAAGAUCUGAAGGUCAUGUGUUCGAUCCACAUAAACCGCA